rnacentral:rRNA from 1 species
AGAGUUUGAUCCUGGCUCAGGAUGAACGCUAGCGGCAGGCUUAAUACAUGCAAGUCGAGGGGCAGCGGGAGUAGCAAUACUUGCCGGCGACCGGCGCACGGGUGCGUAACGCGUAUGCAAUCUACCUUUAACAGAGGGAUAGCCCCGAGAAAUCGGGAUUAAUACCUCAUAACAUUGUUGAAUGGCAUCAUUUGACAAUCAAAGCUGAGGCGGUUAGAGAUGAGCAUGCGUGACAUUAGCUAGUUGGUGAGGUAACGGCUCACCAAGGCGACGAUGUCUAGGGGUUCUGAGAGGAUGAUCCCCCACACUGGUACUGAGACACGGACCAGACUCCUACGGGAGGCAGCAGUAAGGAAUAUUGGUCAAUGGGCGAGAGCCUGAACCAGCCAUGCCGCGUGCAGGAAGACGGCCUUAUGGGUUGUAAACUGCUUUUAUCGGGGAAUAAAUCUUUCUACGAGUAGAGAGUUGAAGGUACCCGAAGAAUAAGCAUCGGCUAACUCCGUGCCAGCAGCCGCGGUAAUACGGGGGAUGCAAGCGUUAUCCGGAUUCAUUGGGUUUAAAGGGUGCGCAGGCGGAUUAUUAAGUCAGUGGUGAAAUCUAACGGCUCAACUGUUAAGCUGCCAUUGAUACUGAUAGUCUAGAGUAUAGUUGAAGUGGGCGGAAUGUGUCAUGUAGCGGUGAAAUGCUUAGAUAUGACACAGAACACCGAUCGCGAAGGCAGCUCACUAAACUAAAACUGACGCUCAUGCACGAAAGCGUGGGGAUCAAACAGGAUUAGAUACCCUGGUAGUCCACGCCGUAAACGAUGAUUACUCGAUGUUGGCGAUACACAGUCAGCGUCUGAACGAAAGUAUUAAGUAAUCCACCUGGGGAGUACGUUCGCAAGGAUGAAACUCAAAGGAAUUGACGGGGGCCCGCACAAGCGGAGGAGCAUGUGGUUUAAUUCGAUGAUACGCGAGGAACCUUACCUAGACUUAAAUGUAGAUUGACCGGCGGGGAAACCUGUUUUUCAGCAAUGACAAUUUACAAGGUGCUGCAUGGUUGUCGUCAGCUCGUGCCGUGAGGUGUCAGGUUAAGUCCUAUAACGAGCGCAACCCCUAUUCUUAGUCGCCAGCAUGUAAUGAUGGGGACUCUAAGGAAACUGCCUACGCAAGUAGAGAGGAAGGUGGGGAUGACGUCAAAUCAGCACGGCCCUUACGUCUAGGGCUACACACGUGCUACAAUGGUAGGUACAGAGGGCAGCUACACGGUGACGUGAUGCAAAUCUCCAAAGCCUAUCUCAGCUCGGAUCGAAGUCUGCAACCUGACUUCGUGAAGUUGGAUUCGCUAGUAAUCGCAUAUCAGCCAUGAUGCGGUGAAUACGUUCCCGGGCCUUGUACACACCGCCCGUCAAGCCAUGGAAGUUUGGGGUACCUGAAGUCCGUAACCGCAAGGAGCGGCCUAGGGUAAAACAAAUAACUAGGGCUAAGUCGUAACAAGGUA